CAGAACCUAAAAGCUCUGCUGGAAGAUGGUCUUUGGACAGAAAGGCUUCACUGAUCUUUGUCUCUCUGUGGCUCAUCACUCUGAUCACACUCAUCGUUGGACUGGUCCUCUACUGUGGUCAGAGAUCAGCAAUACAGAGUGAGCUGGAGGCCCUGAAGCAUGGAACAUCUAAGGUGGCAUUCUCGGCUUCUCUGGUGAGCCAUACAGAGAAAAUUAUAUUGGGGCCACACCCUAAGGAUGUCAUCCUGGUCUACAAAUAUGUCACCACCAAUGUUGGAGGUGCUUAUAACCCAUCUUCAGGCAUCUUCACAGCCCCAACAAAGGGCGUCUACUAUUUCAGUUUCACUGCCUUUGGAUGGAGUGAGAAUCCUGCUAGAGUCACUCUCUGUUUGAAUCAUGAACUUGUCAUGAGCGCCUAUGAUAACAAUCCAGGACCGGGGCGUGGGGCAGCGAACAUGAUCACACUGCAGCUGGACAUAGGAGACAUUCUUUACAUAAAGCUUCAGUCAGAUGCGCAACUCCACGAUAAUGGAAAUUUGUACAAUACUUUCAGUGGCCACCUGCUCUUCCCCAUUUAAUUGGCAGGGAAUAACUCAAUGAUUUGAUAAUUAUGUACUGAGGACCAGUUCCACAAGACCCUAGUGUCCCCACUGUGGGCACUGUACUUUUAUAUCUCUUUAUAUCAACAAACAAAAUGUAUUUUAUGGGUCUGCACAUGAAGCUCUGCAGUUGAAAGCCAUUUUAAAUGAAGAAACAUGACAAGUGGUAAACUAUACAUGACCACUGUCAGGACAAAGCAUCACCAUAUAAGGGGUAUACAGGAAGGACAAGAUAGCAGACAGCAAGGCUGUUGUGCAUCUGAGCAAUGGUGCCACCGAUAACAAAUUAAAGGGUUCUUAUUUUCAUCAGUUAUUUUUAAGCUUUAAUAUACAUAGUAAAAUGCUUUGCAAAAGAUUA